rnacentral:rRNA from 1 species
CACGAACGCUGGCGGCAGGCCUAACACAUGCAAGUCGAACGCUCCGCAAGGAGAGUGGCAGACGGGUGAGUAACACGUGGGAAUCUUCCUAUCGGUACGGAAUAGCUCAGGGAAACUUGAGGUAAUACCGCAUACGCCCUUCGGGGGAAAGAUUUAUCGCCGAUAGAUGAGCCCGCGUCUGAUUAGCUAGUUGGUGGGGUAAUGGCCUACCAAGGCGACGAUCAGUAGCUGGUCUGAGAGGAUGACCAGCCACACUGGGACUGAGACACGGCCCAGACUCCUACGGGAGGCAGCAGUGGGGAAUAUUGGACAAUGGGCGCAAGCCUGAUCCAGCCAUGCCGCGUGAGUGACGAAGGUCUUCGGAUUGUAAAGCUCUUUUGCCAGGGACGAUAAUGACGGUACCUGGAGAAUAAGCCCCGGCUAACUUCGUGCCAGCAGCCGCCGCGGUAA